UACGUAGGGGGCAAGCGUUGUCCGGAAUCAUUGGGCGUAAAGAGCGUGUAGGCGGCUUGGCAAGUCUCGCGUGAAAUCUUGCGGCUUAACCGCAAGCGGUCGUGAGAAACUGCCUGGCUAGAAUCCGGAAGAGGAGAGCGGAAUUCCUGGUGUAGCGGUGGAAUGCGCAGAUAUCAGGAAGAACACCCGUGGCGAAGGCGGCUCUCUGGGACGGUAUUGACGCUGAGACGCGAAAGCGUGGGGAGCGAACAGG
rnacentral:rRNA from 1 species